AGCGAACGCUGGCGGCAGGCCUAACACAUGCAAGUCGAACGAACUCUUCGGAGUUAGUGGCGGACGGGUGAGUAACACGUGGGAACGUGCCUUUAGGUUCGGAAUAACUCAGGGAAACUUGUGCUAAUACCGAAUGUGCCCUUCGGGGGAAAGAUUCAUCGCCUUUAGAGCGGCCCGCGUCUGAUUAGCUAGUUGGUGGGGUAAUGGCCCACCAAGGCUACGAUCAGUAGCUGGUCUGAGAGGAUGACCAGCCACAUUGGGACUGAGACACGGCCCAAACUCCUGCGGGAGGCAGCAGUGGGGAAUCUUGCGCAAUGGGCGAAAGCCUGACGCAGCCAUGCCGCGUGGAUGAUGAAGGUCUUAGGAUUGUAAAAUCCUUUCACCGGUGAAGAUAAUGACUGUAGCCGGAGAGGAAGCCCCGGCUAACCUCGUGCCAGCAGCCGCCGUAAAAC
rnacentral:rRNA from 1 species